rnacentral:rRNA from 1 species
AUUGAACGCUGGCGGCAGGCCUAACACAUGCAAGUCGAACGAGUGGCGGACGGGUGAGUAAUGUCUGGGAAACUGCCCGAUGGAGGGGGAUAACUACUGGAAACAGUAGCUAAUACCGCAUACCAUCGGAUGUGCCCAUAUGGGAUUAGCUAGUAGGUGGGGUAACGGCGCCCCAAGGCGACGAUCACUAGCUGGUCGGAGAGGAUGACCAACCACACUGGAACUGAGACACGGUCCAGACUCCUACGGGAGGCAGCGGGGGGGAAUAUUGCACAAUGGGCGCAAGCCUGAUGCAGCCAUGCCGCGUGUAUGAAGAGGGCCUUCGGGUUGUAAAGUACUUUCAGCGGGGAGGCGUUACUCGCAGAAGAAGCACCGGCUAACUCCGUGCCAGCAGCCGCGGUAAUUC